GUGGGCGAAGGCGGCUUUGCUGGACCGCAACUGACGCUGAGGCUCGAAAGUAUGGGUAGCAAACGGGAUUAGAUACCCCGGUAGUCCAUGCCGUAAACGAUGAUUGCUAGUUGUUGAAAGGUUUCCGCCUCUUAGUGACGUAGCUAACGCAUUAAGCACCCCGCCUGAGGAGUACGACCGCAAGGCUAAAACUUAAAGGAAUUGACGGGGACCCGCACAAGCGGUGGAGCAUGUGGUUUAAUUCGAAAA
rnacentral:rRNA from 1 species